UACAGGGGGGGCAAGCGUUGUUCGGAAUUACUGGGCGUAAAGGGCUCGUAGGCGGCCAACUAAGUCACACGUGAAAUCCCCAGGCUUAACCUGGGAACUGCGUGUGAUACUGGAUGGCUUGAAUUCGGGAGAGGGAUGCAGAAUUCCAGGUGUAGCGGUGAAAUGCGUAGAUAUCUGGAGGAAUACCGGUGGCGAAGGCGGCAUCCUGGACCGACAUUGACGCUGAUGAGCGAAAGCUAGGGGAGCAAACGAG
rnacentral:rRNA from 1 species